GACUUUUACCUGCACUGUUUCAGCAGUGGGCAGCCAGCAGUCUUUCUAAGACGUGCCCCUGGCUGAAGCUUGGCCCGCACUGUCAGGACUCAGCCCUGUAGGGAUUACUCUGCCACACAGCUACAGCACCAGCUGGCACAAAUGGCCUUCUCUCCAACUUCCUCAGGCUUCCCUGAGUCACUGCCCAGCCCUGGGACUGGCAACACCCUGGCCCUGCUCACCCAUCCACCCUUGGCAAGAGGGAAAGAGGAAGAAGCCCGCAGAGAGCUGAUGUCCUGCUUCCAGAUGCUGCGCCAUUCUCAGGCCAAGCCUCAAGAUGGGGGGAACCUGAGCGGGAGCCUCUCUCCUGGCUUGCGUUCCCUCCCGCUUCUGGGAAGGAAGGGCAGUGAUGGUCCCCGUUCUCAUGUGUCUGCCCUUGGCUGGACUCCCCUCUCCUCCCCAAAGGCCAAGCAGGGUCCCAUUCAGCAGACCUGACUGUAAGGAACUGGCAAGAGAUGACGUCCCUAGCCAGUCUGGCCCCCCCCCCCCCCGGUAUUUCUGCAGCUGGAGAUUAUUAGUCUCAAGCAAAACUCCUUUGCUAUCCAAGCCCACUCCACCACAUUAUUUUCCUAAA
rnacentral:lncRNA from 1 species